CUCAGAUUGAACGCUGGCGGCAGGCCUAACACAUGCAAGUCGAGCGGUAGCACAAGAGAGCUUGCUCUCUGGGUGACGAGCGGCGGACGGGUGAGUAAUGUCUGGGAAACUGCCUGAUGGCGGGGGAUAACUAGUGGAAACGGUAGCUAAUACCGCAUAACGUCGCAAGACCAAAGUGGGGGACCUUCGGGCCUCACGCCAUCAGAUGUGCCCAGGUGGGAUUAGCUGGUAGGUGGGGUAACGGCUCACCUAGGCGACGAUCCCUAGCUGGUCUGAGAGGAUGACCAGCCACACUGGAACUGAGACACGGUCCAGACUCCUACGGGAGGCAGCAGUGGGGAAUAUUGCACAAUGGGCGCAAGCCUGAUGCAGCCAUGCCGCGUGUGUGAAGAAGGCCUUCGGGUUGUAAAGCACUUUCAGCGAGGAGGAAGGGUAAUGUGU
rnacentral:rRNA from 1 species